ensembl:snoRNA small nucleolar RNA, H/ACA box 28
AAGCAACACUCUGUGACAGAUGACUGAAACAGUCUGGCACAAUUUGAGUUUGCUGUAGCAAGUAGUCUAACCUAUUCUGGUAUUCUCUCUUCCAUGAGGCAUGCUGUUAUAUAGACUUAAACAUU